GCCAAGUUGUGUGUAGACAAAAACAUACCUGUCAUUCCUGUCCCAGGUCCAUCUGCUGUGGUAGCAGCUCUUUCUGCGUCUGGUUUGCCAACUAACGAGUUCACAUUAGUCGGAUAUCUCCCUAAACAUGCCACUACAAGAAGAGAGAGGCUCAUGGUUUCUGCCAAUAGUGCAACCACACAGGUGUUUUUGUCCCUCCUCAUAAGCUCUGUCAGUUCCUAGAGGAGUCGUCUUCGAUCUUUGGAAACUCAAGGCGUUGUGUUAUUGCUCGAGAGAUGACCAAACUACAUGAAGAAGAUUGGAGAAACCCUAGUUCUGGAGGGGUACUCUUGGGGAAGCGAAUGAAGCAUUCUCAACCCAUCAACCAAAGGGUGAAAUAACACUGAUGAUAGAAG